rnacentral:rRNA from 1 species
AACGAACGCUGGCGGCAGGCUUAACACAUGCAAGUCGAACGCGUGCAGCAAUGCACUAGUGGCCCACGGGUGAGUAACGCGUGGAUAUCUGCCUUUUGGUUCGGAAUAACCCCGGGAAACUUGAGCUAAUACCGGCUGGUUCCUUCGGGAUAAAUAUUUAUCGCCAAAAGAUUAGUUCGCGUCCGAUUAUCUAGUUGUUGAGGUAAUGGGUCCCCAAGGCGACGAUCGUCAUCUGUUCUGAGAGGACUAUCAGCCACACUGGGACUGAGACACGGCCCAGAAUCCUACGGGAGGCAGGAGUGGGGAAUAUUGGACAACGGGGGCAACACUGAUCCAGCCAUGCCGGGUGAGUGAUGAAGGCCUUCGGGUUGUAAAGCUCUUUUGGCGGGGACGAUGAUGACGGUACCCGAAGAAUAAGCCACGGCUAACUUCGUG